CAGUCGCCGCGGUAAUACAGAGGGUGCGAGCGUUAAUCGGAUUUACUGGGCGUAAAGCGUGCGUAGGUGGUUGUUUAAGUCUGCUGUGAAAGCCCUGGGCUCAACCUGGGAAUUGCAGUGGAUACUGGGCAACUAGAGUAAGGUAGAGGAUAGUGGAAUUUCCGGUGUAGCAGUGAAAUGCGUAGAGAUCGGAAGGAACAUCUGUGGCGAAGGCGACUAUCUGGGCCAUUACUGACACUGAGGCACGAAAGCGUGGGGAGCAAACAGGAUUAGAUACCCGAGUAGUCCCUGUCUCUUAUAA
rnacentral:rRNA from 1 species